GAUGAAGAACGUAGCGAAAUGCGAUACGUAAUGUGAAUUGCAGAAUUCAGUGAAUCAUCGAGUCUUUGAACGCACAUUGCGCCCCCUGGUAUUCCGGGGGGCAUGCCUGUCCGAGCGUCAUUGCUGCCCUCAAGCACGGCUUGUGUGUUGGGCCUCCGUCCUCCUCCCGGGGGACGGGCCCGAAAGGCAGCGGCGGCACCGCGUCCGGUCCUCGAGCGUAUGGGGCUUCGUCACCCGCUCUUGUAGGCCCGGCCGGCGCUUGCCGACACAUCAAUCUUUUUUCCAGGUUGACCUCGGAUCAGGUAGGACUACCCGCUGAACUUAAGCAUAUCAAUAAGCGGAGGA
rnacentral:misc_RNA from 1 species